UUACUGUUGAAGAGUCCCAUAAUAGGAUGAAACGGACGUCCAGUGC
rnacentral:hammerhead_ribozyme from 1 species